GUCAGCAUGGUAUCAUGGUUUGAGUGUUGGACUAUGACUCUGAAGACAAGGGUUCGAUUCCCAAUUCAGCCA